UUGCUAACCUGGCAGGGGAGACACCAUGAUCACGAAGGUGGUUUUCCCAGGAUGAGGCUCAUCCAUUGCACUCCAGGUGUGCUGACCCCUGCACUUUCCCCAAAUGUGGGAAACUCAACUGCAUAAUUUGUGGUGUCUUAUAGGACCUAUCCUACC